GGGGCCGCGUGGUGGCUGGGAGGACUGGGAGGGGACGGUCCACGCUGGGUGUCCCCGAAGCACCCUCGGGCUGGUGUCCUUGACUCGCCUCCUCGCCCUCAACAGCCUGGGCCACUCUCCGCAUCCUAAUCUGUCUCCUUGAGAGCCCCCCCUCAGGAGCCGAGGGGAGGAAUUCCGCAGUUCCCUUCCCACACAGCCAAAAUCCCUCAACUGUCGCCUCAGGAACACCGCAUCCCACACCCCGAGCCGCCGAGAGCUCCCUCGCACGCCAACACCAGCCCUUCUCUUGCGGCUUCGGUGCCCUGGCUGAGGGAAUCCCACUCCAGGGAGCAGAGGGAGGUGGUUUUAUUUCUUCUUUAAUAGCCCACUCGCCUGUCUGCAUAGAAAUCACCGGUUAUGCUGCUGUGGCUGCUAAACGUGGCACCUAGACUUGUCCUCGGAGGUGCUUGCCUCUGCCGUUGAGAUAAAGGCUGUUGUACAGAUCCUGGUUCCCCUGGCUGGAAGAAAAAGACCCUUGAACCCAAAACCUAUUCUUUAAUCACAUUUGUGCUGUCCUUGAAGUCUGUACAAAGCCUAGGUCUCAGCGCUGUCAAUUUAGAGAUGUCAUCCUACUAAAUGGGAAGGACCCUUUCUUUGCAUUGAAUUCAGAGACGUAUUUACAAAGAGGAGCAGUUUUCUUAAAGGAAUAGGUUGCCGAAUAAAGCAGUCCACUUGUGCGUGUGUUUAGCAAUAUGGCACCAUCCACGUGAGCAUAAGCAGAGGGAAAAAAAAUCGACCUCAGUCGUCCCACAUGGUACAGCCUUAGGAUUUAAGAUAGAUUCCUUCAACAGAUGAUGCAAAUCACAGCGCAUUACCCGGCUGAAAAAAAAAUCGGGCACGUCACUUCAUUUAAUUAUUUCCAAGGAGUGGAGGCUGGCAUGCAGUUUUGAUUGAUACUUGGAAAAGGACCAACAGAACCCUACACAAACAAACAGGAAUUCUACUGUAUGGCGUCGACACACUCCCUAGGAGACGAGAGGUGGAAACUGGUUGGGUCACGUGACUGCGGGGUGUGGUCCUGGAGGGCUUUGCCCUCCGAGACCAGCUCUGCACUGUUUCUUACCACUUGGGCCUUACCACGUCUCUUGGCACCAACAGAAGCCCCGAAGGCUUGAGGAUUACCUUUUCCAGCCUGGAAAUUAGGCAGUCGACUUUGGAGGCGUGAUGUGGUGCCAUCUGCUUGGGGUUGCGAGUACCUGUUCAGUGCCGAGCUUCCUGAGGGGAUCCUGACUUCAGCCUUUGUCUGGAAGGCACUUCCUUCAGGUCCUGGGAAACCCCCUUCCAGCUUAUCGUUCGGAUCUCAACUGCUUACAGCUGCCAAAUGGCAACAUACUCAGACUGAAUGGAUGAUGCUCACUUCUAGCCAUUUCUCCAGCCACAGGAAGUGCCACACUCCAAACUCUGGCCACAGCAUCCUCUACCUGGACGUCAUGUGCCUCCACACGUCACUGACAGGAGCCUUAGUCCUUGGAUCCUUCGUGGAAGACUGCUGCUGUUGCUCACGAUCCUUCAUCGUUCCUUUGUACUCUUUGACACUAGCCAUCUAGAUCAAUCCCAUCAUCUUCCCAGUGAGAAAACUGAGGUCCAUGGUCAGGUGCUGAACCAGGUUUCAAGGCAGAACCACUUCAGUACUUCCUCAGCACCGGCAGUCCAUCAAGAUUCACCCAGGACUUCUUUAUGAAAUCACAGGAUGCCCCAUAGUGUGUUACCUCACUGUGGGAAACAUACUGGCAGUGGCUGCAGGGCAGAAACAGCAGACUUUGGAGCCAGCCAGGCCUGGAGGACAUUGAAACUCUGCUGUGUACAGGAUUUCAGAGCUUUCAGUCUGUGGGCAUUUGUUGCUUUGGGGUCUGUGGCAAAGCAGUAAAUUCAUCUACUAAGGUGCUUACAA